UGGUCCGUGCGCGAUCACGGCCCGGCGCGCGCCUUGGGCUCGGGUGGAGUUGAAGACGCGUGGAGCUGCUCGACUCGCGGGUGUGCAGGGCACCUAUGAUAUGUGUUUUAGAAAUACCUGUUAAACUUUGGUUUGAAUGAAGAAUGUCUCUCAAUCCACCUAUAUUUCUCAAACAAAGUGAAGAAAAUAAUUCAAAAUUUGUGGAAACAAAACAGUCACAAACUACUUCCAUAGCUUCAGAAGAUCCCCUUAAAAACUUAAAUUUAGCAUCUCAAGAAGUUCUUCAAAAAGCUCAGCAAAGUGGGAGAUCAAAAUGUCUCAAAUGUGGUGGUUCCAGAAUGUUCUACUGCUAUACAUGUUAUGUCCCAGUUGAAAAUGUACCUAUUGAACAGAUUCCACUUGUGAAGCUUCCAUUGAAGAUUGACAUCAUUAAACAUCCAAAUGAAACAGAUGGCAAAAGUACUGCUAUACAUGCAAAACUCUUAGCACCUGAAUUUGUAAACAUUUACACAUAUCCUUGUAUUCCAGAAUAUGAAGAAAAGGACCACGAAGUUGCUCUCGUUUUUCCUGGACCUCAGUCUAUCUCAAUAAAAGAUAUUUCUUUUCAUCUGCAAAAAAGGAUUCAAAAUAAUGUUAGAGGCAAAAAUGAUGACCCUGACAAGCCAUCUUUUAAACGCAAAAGAGCUGAAGAACGUGAGUUCUGUGAUUUGAAUGACAGCAAGUGCAAAGGCGCAACACUGAAAAAAAUUGUAUUUAUAGAUAGCACCUGGAACCAAACAAACAAAAUAAUCACUGAUGAGCGACUUCAAGGGUUAUUACAAGUUGAGUUGAAAACAAGAAAAACUUGCUUUUGGCGCCAUCAAAAAGGAAAGCCAGAUACUUUCCUUUCUACAAUUGAAGCCAUUUACUACUUUCUGGUAGACUACCAUACUGAUAUAUUAAAAGAGAAAUACAGAGGGCAAUAUGACAAUCUUUUAUUUUUCUAUUCUUUUAUGUACCAGUUGAUAAAGAAUGCCAAAUGCUCUGGAGAUAAGGAGACAGGAAAACUUAUACAUUAGUUUUUAACAAGCCACUUAUGUCCUUUUAUUUUGCUAAAAUUAAUAAACUUAUAUUUCUGCUUUGUUUUCUCUUAAGAAAUAAUUAUAUAUAAUGCCUGUAAGACCAUUUGAAAAAAUUAGAGUCUCUCAUGUAUUACUUUAUAUUUCUUAAAAGGAAGGAAAUUGUAUCUAGGGGAAUUUUUCAGAGAUUCUUUUGACUGAAAAGCUUAUUUCAGGAGUUAUUUGCUCAGUGAAACCUCAGUUUCAUUACUACAUUUUAAUAUAGUGUGUUUUGUCUCUGUUAGACAUAACAUAUUCAAUUAGAUCUAAUUAGCUCUUUAUUUCAACAUCUUUAUAUCUUUUCACCUGUACUCAUGACCACCUUUAGAGGUAAAUGGGGUUACAGUCUACUGGCUGAAAAAUAGGUCAUAAGUGAUUUUUCUUGAGGUUAGUAGCAAACAUAGGCAGAACUAGAAUUAGAGUUCCAAUAUGUAGGACUGUUUCUUUAAGUCCUAAGGUUGUUAAAAGCAGAGACUCUGGAGCUAGAUUACCUGAAUUUAAAUCUCAGCCUUUCUACUUAUCAGCCAUGUCAGUUUCUUCCAUUUGUACAAAGCAGGCAAUACUGAGCAGCUACCUUAUAGGAUUAACUGGAAAUUAACUGAGUUAAUAUCGAAGGGGCUUUUAGCAGUACCUUAAAUAUAAUAAGUGUUAUAUAUAUGUUUGCUCUUUCUAUUUUAUUUGGAAUUGUGAACUAAUAAUAAUUGAAGCCUGGCUGCUAGUGGCCAUCUCUGCUGCCAGGUCAAAAGAGCCUGCCUUAGAAUGAAGUCGGCAAUGGAAAGCAGAGUGGAGAAAGAAAAAGAGAGACUGAGUCCUGAUGACAUCAUUUACUCACCUAGACCUAGCUGCUUGUGAAUAGAGCCCUACUGUGCUGAGUAGCUUCUGUCUACUCUUUUCUAUUCUGCUCUCUGCUCUAUGAGAAAAGGAAAAAUGAAUGGAAGAUGGAGCCAAAAUCCCAGAGGGAGGAUCCAAGAAGCAAGGAGAGCAAUGGAUUAGGAAACCACUACCAGCGGGAUGAACUGAACUGCAAUCAGCAAUAGCCUCUUUCUUUGGUGUAGGGAGGCCCUGAAAGCAAUUUUAGUUUUAUACCUCCUGUUUCCUUGUCUCUCUUUUUUUGAAUGAUAGACUCUGUGUGGUGUUCCUCUCCUAGAAAACCUUCACUGGGAAAAGCUACUCUCAAGCAUCUUUACUUGAGAAACAGUAACUGAGGAUGUUUGUUAUAUCUGGAUAUGAUUUAGAUGAUAAGAUCUGAACUUAAAUGUAUUCCAUAAUAUAAUGAGACUUUAGGGUACAGAGUAAGUAUAUAUAUGCUUGUUAGUGAGACAAGAACCAUGGCUAGGGAGCAAACUGAUAGUUUUCAAAGAUGUCCCUCAAACAAUUCCUCCUCUUCCUUGGACUCCUCUCUUCGGCGGGUAGAGUCCAUUUCUUUUUCCUUUUAAUCUGGAUUGCCUUCUAACUCACUUUGACCAAUAAAAUAUGGUAAAAGUAAGGUCUGGCAGUUUUCACUUUCACUCUCCUGAGAUUUCAUGUUAGAAUUCCACGAUAUCCUGCUAGAGAUAUCCACAUUUCUAGGGACAUUAUGAGUCUAAAGACACCACAUGGAGAGAAAGGCCACCUAGGGAAGAACUGAGAUGCCCCAGUCAAUAGCACUGCCUUAGUCUGUUUGGGCUACUAUAACAAAAAUGUCGUAGAUUGAGUGACUUUUUUUCUUAAAAAAAAAAAAGGAGAUUGUGGAACCUGAAAAUACAGUGUGGUAAGACUGGAGAGAAAGGCCACCUAGGGAAGAACUGAGACACUCCAGUCAAUAGCAUUGCCUUAGUUGGGGCUACUAGAACAAAAAAUAUCAUAGAUUGAGUGACUUAAACAACAGAAAUUUAUAUCUUACAUUUCUGAGACUUAAAGUCUGGAUGUAAGAUCAGGGUGUCAGCAUGGCUGAGUGUUUAAUGGGGGCUCCCUUCCUAGUUUGCAGACAGCCAUCUUCCUGCUAUACCCUCACACGAUGGAGAGAGAGAGUACUCUGGCAUCUUCAUCCUUUUAUAAGGGCACCAAUCCCAUCGUGGAGGGUCUUCAACCUCAUGACUUCUUGUAACCAAAUUACUUUUCAAAGUCCUCACCUCCAAAUACAGCACAUUGAGGUUUAGUGCUUCAACAUAUGAGUUUCAGUCCAUAGAAAGCACCAAAGCCCCAGACAAGUUAGAUCUUGAACCUCCUAAUUCAGCUUAGCCACAGUCUGCAUGCAAUCACGUAAGUGAUCCCAGGUGACACCAUUUGGAGCUGAAGAACCAACAGCCAGUACAAAGAAAUGAGAAAUUUUUAAAUCGUGCAUCUAAACAGUUAAGUUUUGGGGUGAUUUAUUACACAGCAAUUAAUAACUGAUACAACAGUCUUUUUGUUUGUAAAAGAGCGGAUAAGAAGAAAACGUGUGAAGAAAAGACCUGUAGAAGGUUGGGGGCCUAUGUACCUCUAUUUUUUUUUUCAUAGUGCCGUGUUUCUUUCAGUCCAUGCUAGUGGUAUCUUCCUCAAUGCAAUUUUCUUUAAAACUCUGUGAGCCUUUAUAUCAGAUUAGUCCAUCCCAUUAGAAAAAAAA